rnacentral:lncRNA from 1 species
UACAUCAAAGUUUACUUCCCAGGUACGAGACCUUCAAAUACAUUCCUUACAAUACAUGAAUAGAUACCCAUGCAGCUAUAACCAUUAACUCAUAAUACACACUUAUUCGAUCAGCUUUCCUUUUCCUUUGUUCGUGCCUGAACCUUCAGGUUGCUCAUACAUAACUGAAAAUAUUUAAUUUAAGCAAGGAUGAGCAUUUGAGUGCCCAGCAAGUAAUAACAAUUAUAUAUAUAAGCUGAAAGAAUAUAAGUAUUCUCUUUACAUAACACUUCUACAACGAAUCAAAAGUUGUGAAGUAAUCUGUACUGAUAAAAGAUUCACAUAACAACUCUCUUUCAAAUUCUUGAAAUGAGGCUCCACCCAUGAAUAGGGUUUAAGAAACAUACUAUGAACAUUCUUUUUCGUUUUCGAAAAGGUUUAGCAGAAAUUCAUCCGCAAACCGGCAUAAAUUACGGGCACGGAGGGUGAUCAGCCCCGUUGUACCCUGUAUUGAUCAAUACUACAUAACUUGAACGAAAUUCAUCGCUCACCCUUUGUCCGCCGAAGCGCAUAAAAAUUUUCCCAUUAUCGGGAUGUUCAUACAUGCCUGGUUCCAAACCCGAAGGUUUUUAAUCUUGCUCAACAAUAAUAUGUAAUUCAACAUAUAUGUAUACGGGUAAUUGACAUGGUAUAUCAUCAUGUGAAUAAAUGCCAUGAUUAUCCAAGUGGGGACACUUGUAUAACCAUUUAGAAAUCAACUUAACAGAAUAUAUAUCUGAGCUAACAUGUUGAUAAUCAAAACAUACAUAAUCUGUACAGGAAUAGAAUAAUUCUGAAACUUCUUACUCAUGUCCAUUGCAUAAAGGAAAUGCAAAGGUAAGAUACUUGCCUGAUUUGCUGAUUACAAAUCUCAACUUAGAUCUUAUCUCUUUAUCACAACCUAUCAAUAAACAGGUCAUUCGUCCGAUUAGAACAAUAUAUAAUAACACAUAGUACUGUCAGUUACGGUCAGCACAUAGUCUAAUCACGCCAUCACAUAAUCGCAGUGAUCAUACUUUCUAUUCUAUACUUUUAUACAUUUUUCAAAUAUCUCAUCCAUGCUCUUACAGAAGUCUUUUCUUUCUAUUAUAGGGUCUGACAUUUGUCGGCGUACCGACAGCUUUAUCGGGUAAAUACUGAGUCUAAGACUCUUAUCCUAUACCUCAACAUCUGUAAAUAUCAAACAUUUUAUUUUUAAUCAUUUUCGAAUUUUCCAGAAAUUGAAAAAUUUAAAAUAAUUCAAAUCUGUCACUACCGGGCCUAUAGUGAUAUAACUGUUACUAUAGGUGUUCCUCAAAACUUCAUAACUUCAUAAUCGGUUCUCAAGUCAGCUAGUUUGGCCGGCUAUAACUUUCAAACAUCGGAAUCAUAAUUAAAUGAUUUAAACAUUAAACAAUUCCAUUAUCAUUAAUAAUUAAUUUAUAUUAAACUAUUAAUGAAACCAUUGCCAAAAUAUAAAAGUUAUUUAUAAUAACUCAAACUAUUUUUAAAACAUUUAUAUUACCCUUAAAUGAUUUUUAAAACAAUUAAAAUCAUUUUUAAAUAAUCACCAUUAAUAUAUAAAUAUUAAUGUACUAUUCAUCCAAAUAUUAAAAGUCAUUAAUUAUAACUUAAAAUAUUUUUAAAUCCUUAAUAUCCUCUUUAAAUGAUUUUUAAAUAAAUAAAACCAUUUUUAAACUAUUUAUUUAAUAAUAAUUAUUAAAUAAACUAAAUAUCAUUAAUAUUAUCUUAAUAUCAUUAAUAUUAAAUUAUUAAUGAAAUUAUCCUUUAAAUAUUAAAAGUUAUAUUUUAUAACUUAAAAUAUUUUUAAAUACCUUAAUUUCAUUUAAAAUGAUUUUUAUAAUAUUAAAAUCAUUUUUAAACUAAAUUAUUUAAUAUAAUCAUUAAAUAACUUUAAUAUCAUUAAUAUAUAAUUAAUUAAUGAAAUUCAUCACAAAAUAUUAAAAGUCAUGGAAAAUAACUCAAAAUAUUUUCUUAUACCAUAAAAUAAUUUUUCAUGAUUUUUCAUGAAUUAAAACUAUUUUUAAAUCAUUUAUUUAAUAUUAUAAUUAAAUAAAUAAAUACCUUUUAUAUUUCAAAAAUAUUAAAUAUUUAUGAAAUAUACUCAAAAUAAUUAAAAACUAUUUUUCAGACUUUAAAAUAAUUUUUCAUAAUUUAUUUGGUAUUUUUAAUAAUUAAAAACUAAUUUUUCUAAUUUUUAAAUUAAUUUCCGGAAAAUAAAAUGUUAUCUGUCGCUAAAGGCAUCUAUAGCGACAGAACCGUCGCUAUAGGUGUUCUUGAGCUUCAUGUCAGUGCACAAAGGUACUAGUUUGACCGAGCUUUAAAUCCAUGAUCUAAGUGUUUUCUGGACUUGCAAAAACUUCAAUGUUGUAGUACUAAUGUAAUACUACAACUAUAUACUCAUUUCAUGGCCAAACAACAACAAAUCUGUGAGAUAUGAUCAAUAGAAAACCUUGUCAGACGUGUUCUUCAUGUUUCUGGGUUGCCCAGAAAAUUCUGGUCAACACCGGUCAACGACCUUAGUGGUCUUAUUCUGGUCGAUCUGUACAUGUUAUAGGUGUUUUAUACGUCGGGCUAUGUAGUACAACUUACAGAGAACAUGAUUAAAUCAAGUUUCAAGUCUAAACAUUAACAAUACCAAAGAUAUAAAUCAUCAAACUCUCUGACAAAACUUGCAUGCCAAUUCUGGGUUUUCCAGAAUUUUAAAACAGAUCGUGCAGGCUACUUUGGAUCUUUAUAUCUUUCAUUCUGAGUUUGAUCUAAGUGAUCUAUUGAUUCCAGGUUGUAGAUAACAUGUAAUACUACAACUCUAUUACAUAUAAGACAUAUAACAACAACAGAUCCAGUAGAAAGAGGCCGGUCAAAUGUGACCUCAACAACUGUUCUUGAACAUUUCUGGAAAACCCAGAAAUGUUCUUGAGCAGUUCGGUCAAUGGUAGUUUGACCAUAAAUAACUUCUAAUCUACAACAGAUAUGACCAUGAUUCCUUUUGCAGAAUAAAGACAACAUACCAGGCUACACAUAGCAAGCUUUAAACAUCAAAAACUCUUAACAGGAUGGGAUCUACAGCCUCUGACAUUCGUUGUCAGAACACAAAAAUGAAAAUUUCCAGAUUUUGAAGAUCUUCAAAUCCGAGCUUCUGAAUGUUAUGGAAUCAACAUCAAGCAACCCAGAUCAUCCUUAGACACUAUAAUCAACAUGUUUUAACAUUUAAACAUAACAUCUAACACCAAAAAGUUUAAGAAAAAUCAAGCUAGGGUUUAUACCUUUUUAAGCUUUGAUUCUGAUUUUUGGCUACUGAUUUGUUAUUGGUGUGAAUGGGGCUUGUUUAUAGACUGAUAUGUUAAGAGAAUUUCGUAGGUUUAAGCUUGGGAGAAUGAAGCUAAGUGCUUGUGUAUAAAUAGGCCAAAAAUGGUGCAUUUCUCUCUCUUGAAUCCAUAAAAUAAUGCAUGAAAUGAUUAUAGUGGCUGAUUGAUGGUAAUACUACAGCCCAUAGGUAAUUUCUAGAUGGAUUGGCCGGAUUUUGUGGACAAGUGGUAGCAAUAAGACAUAAAUAAUGCAUUUUCCCUUUUCUUUAAUUUUAAAAAAAAAAUUUUAAAUACCUUGGAUGCUAAAGUGGGAUGAUUCCCUUGUUUGAGAGCUGAUAGCAUGUAGGGUAAGCAUGUUGGGCAUCCUUGUUGCAAGAUCCCAUCAACAAUGUAAGUAAUAAUACACUAAAAUGACAAAAAGGGUAUUUUGGUCAUUUCACAUAUAAUUCCAAGGGCAUUUUUGUAAAAGGCCAUUAAAUGUAAUAUUUAACCAUUAGAUUAUAAUUCUUACCAUUUACCAAUUAAUUUCUAUCAUUUGGUAAUUUAAAACAUUUAUAUAAUAACAUCGUAAUUAAACACGAUAAUUUUAAAUUAGGGUUUUCUAUAGAAAAUUAGGGUUUUCUAAUUAGGGUUUCUUAACAUUAUCAAUUAGGGUUUCCUAAUUGACCAUUAGGGUUCUCUAAUUAUCUGUGUAUGAUCUAACACAGUCAUUACGAUCUCUAACUUCAACCGAUUAGGGUUGUAAUAAUUAGGGUUUGUCCUAGUUAUCAGCGUAAAAAUAGUAAUUAGGGUUUUUCUUCUAAUUACCGACAUUCGUGUACACAGUAACUUCAUAUACACAGUAAACUUCAUAUACUACUCAGUCAUUUCUCAUAACUGAGUUUAAUAAUUAGGGUUUUACAGCACGGUAAUAUGCUAUGACCUAAUUGACCGUCAUUGCUCAAUAAUAUCUGUCCGCAUAUACACAGUACAUAAUUAUUGUACUGUAAAAUCAUUAUAAUAAUAAUAUAAUAUUAUUAUUCUCAUCUCUUGAUCACAAUCCCAAUUCAGGGUUUGGAUCUCAUACAUGACUUUUCUUU